CUCCAAGGAGGAUCCCACACAGAGGUACCAUGGAUGAGGGCUUCACCAUGUCUUUCAGGGGACACAGUGUGACACAUAAGAGGUGGCGAGUAAGUUUCUCCUGCUGAGAAAAUUGUAGAGAUUCAAUUACAGAAGAAGCCUGAGGCUCUGUCCAAGAUCAGAGGUUGAAAAGACUGAGUCUCCAGAGCCCUUCACAGUCACCAGGGAAGUUGGGCCCAUGCCUGCCAGUGCAGAUUAAACGCUUGUUUUGCCAGAAAGCUCUCACCGUUUCCCAGGCUGCGUGGUCACUUCCUUGGCCAUCCCUCCACGGCACUGCCUGCCACCACCUCCUCCUCUCAGCCCAGAGCCAGCCUGCCCACCGCUGGAUCCUGGCCCUGCCUCUGCCUGGCCACAUGGUAGCAGCUUCAACUUCGUGGUACCCCAGGCAAUAGAGAAGAGCAUCCCCUGUGCCCUGUGCCCUGAAGACUCUCCUGGGAUCUCAUUAGCUCCGGUUGACUCACAAGUCAAUCCUUGCAUUAAUUGCUGUGCCCAUAGGAAUGCAGUGGGCUCCACGGCUUAGGCUCCCACUCCUGGUCCCCAGCACCUGUGUCCUUAGCCCACCAGAUGAGUCCACUGUACGCAGCAGCGUGAAGACAGCCGGUCUAGGUGUCCGAGACACAGAGAGUGGAGGAGAAGAUCCUUGGCGUAUUUU